GACGAACGCUGGCGGCGUGCCUAAUACAUGCAAGUCGAGCGGACUUUCAAGAAGCUUGCUUUUUGAAAGUUAGCGGCGGACGGGUGAGUAACACGUGGGCAACCUGCCUGUAAGACGGGGAUAACUCCGGGAAACCGGGGCUAAUACCGGAUAAUAUCUUUCUUCGCAUGAAGGAAGGUUGGAAGGCGGCGCAAGCUGCCGCUUGCAGAUGGGCCCGCGGCGCAUUAGCUAGUUGGUGAGGUAACGGCUCACCAAGGCGACGAUGCGCAGCCGACCUGAGCGGGGGAUCGGCCACACUGGGACUCGGACGCGGCCCAGACUCCUAGGGGGGGCAGCAGUAGGGAAUCUUCCGCAAUGGACGAAAGUCUGACGGAGCAACGCCGCGUGAGCGAAGAAGGUCUUCGGAUCGUAAAGCUCUGUUGUCAGGGAAGAACAAGUACCGUUCGAAUAGGGCGGUACCUUGACGGUACCUGACCAGAAAGCCACGGCUAACUACGUGCCAGCCGCCGCCGUAA
rnacentral:rRNA from 1 species